AGAGUUUGAUCCUGGCUCAGGAUUAACGCUGGCGGCAUGCCUUAUGCAUGCAAGUAGAACGGGAAGUAGCAAUACUUUCAGUUGCGAACGGCUGAGUAAUGGAUAGGAAUCUCCCCAGUGGUGUGGAAUACCUCAUCGAAAGGUGAGCUAAUACCGCAUGACCUCUUGCUUGCGCAAGCAAGUGUAGAGAAAAGCGCUUAACUGCGCGCCGAUGGAUGAGCCUAUCUCCCAUCAGGCUGUUGGUAAGGUAAUGGCUUACCAAACCUAUGACGGGUACCCGCCCUGAGAGGGGAAACGGGCAGAAUGGGACUGAGACACGGCCCAUACACCUACGGGUGGCAGCAACAGGGAAUCGUGCGCAAUGGACGAAAGUCUGACGCCGCAAUGCCGCGUGGAGGAAGUGGCCCUCGGGUCGUAAACUCCUUUGCCAUGGGGGAGAUACCAUGAGAAUA
rnacentral:rRNA from 1 species